CGGCCAUCCGCUCGUCCUGGAGAUGGAUAAGAUCCACCCCGAGCGCCGAGACGAACCCUAAUCCCCAUUCCCCAUCCUCCUCGCUCGCUCUCUUCCCUCCUCUGUCACCCGACCGCAAUCGUCGUGUCGUCGUCGUGCUCGUGGCCGAUAACCUCCCCGGUGCUCAGGAGGAAGUCGAGGAGCAUCGCCGUCCUCUUCUGCAUCGUCUGCAAGCGCCAGGUCGAGCCGGAGCAACUGGAGCCAUCGCCAUCAUCCUUCUUCCCCAACCACGGUCGUCGUCGUCCACCUCGUCGACCCGUUCGCCUUCGGCCGUCCUCGUGCGUCCCCAACCCCCUCGAGCUCGUCCACGACCUCCCCCUAACCCCGAGACCGAUGCUGCCCCUGUGAUCGACUACGUCGACGACGACCCCUCCUUUCCAGAGCAACCAGUAACUUCAAGUGAGUAACUACAAUAACAUCAACAAUUAUCUUGCAGGUUCAGGAAUUAUCUUUGCAGAUUCUCCAGACACAACAAUAAUCUUCAGACUCACACCACUAGUUGAAUUGCAGCAGUAGUAGAGGUGGGCGGGGCAGACUCACUAGCACCAGUACCAGCAGAGUCAGGGCAAGGGAAAGGGAAGAAGCAUCAUCAGAGGUCCACGUCGGCGUCUCCUACCAACAGUAGUAACAUCAGUGGCGGGAGUGGCCGGAAUUGUCCGUGCCGGUGGUGGCCAAAGCAGAAGAAGUCAGAGGCAUAGGUUUGUGGUUGUGGGCGGCGAAGGUGGUUGCGCAGGAAGGCGACCGUGGCCAGCAUAGGUGGGCUACAGCAUGUGGCAAGAUUCAACGGGGCUGGUGGCGCAGCUCGAGGCGGGCGUCAGCACAGGUUGCCUUCACGGCGGGCACCGCAGGUGGGAAGCCUUGGCGCAUGUUGGGGAUAUAACUAUUUGUGUAAGCCUCCCAGGAGGGGUCGGGUUAUUCAAAGAGGAUUCCCCAGAGAGAAGCCCAAGACCAAGGCAUGAAGAUGGCGGUUCAUAGAUAGCUUAAGGCCCAGGGGCGACUUAAGGCUCGUUGUCGUAAACCGUUGUAAUAAUAUUACUUGUAUCAUAAGGUAGACUUAACUAGUCACCGAUCCGGACAUUGUUUAUAAGCCGGCCGGGACUCUGUAAGCCGCAGGGCGUCGACCCGUGUAUAUAAGGGGACGACCCGCUGGCGGCUUAGGGCAAGAAACAACUCAUCGAGAGCCAGGCAUAGCGUAUCUUGCUCCCUGUUCAUCGAAACAUCAAUACCAACCCAACUAGACAUAGGCCUUACCUUCACC
rnacentral:rRNA from 1 species